AUUAGUGUAAAAGUAAUUGCAGGUUAUGCCAUUAAAAGUAAUGGUAAAAACUGCAGUUAUUUUUACACUAAC
ensembl:miRNA MIR548AJ1 microRNA 548aj-1